GACGAACGCUGGCGGCGUGCUUAACACAUGCAAGUCGAACGGAAAGGCCCUGCUUGUGUGGGGUGCUCGGGGGACGAGCGGGUGAGACACACGAGAGUAACCUGAGCUGGACGUUGGGAUAACGUCAGGAAACCGGGGCUAAUACGGGAUAUGAGCUCCAGCGCCGUGGGGGGGGGCGGAAAGUUUCGGCGGUUGGGGAUGGAGUCGCGGCUGAUCGGCUUGCUGGUGGGGUAGUGGCUUGCCAAGGCUGUGACGGAUAGCCGGCCGGAGAGGGUGGACGGCGACAUUGGGACUGAGAUACGGCCCAGCCGCCUACGGGAGGCAGCAGUGGGGAGCAUUACCCAAUGGGCGCGAGUCUGCUGCGGCGACGCCGCGUUUGGGAUGACGUCCUUCGGGUUGCAAACCGGUUUCCGCUGUGACGGAGCGUGAGUGACGGUAAUGGGAGAAGAAGCACCGGCUAACUACGUG
rnacentral:rRNA from 1 species